AACGCAGCACGUCUCCAGAACCAAAAAAGCGAAAGCCAAAACCAAAAAACUAAACACAACACAAGCCAAAACCAGUAAGCGUUUCUAAUUCGAAUCGACAACGCUUGAGUCGAGAGAGAAAAGACCGAAACAGUGAAGAUUCAAGAACAACAAUUCCUUGGUUCCUUCUCUAAUCUCCACUGAUGUCAUUGCAUAUUGGCAACUUAUCGUCUCACAUUCGUAGAGAUGAACUUGAGCGUGUCUUCCAAAGGUUUGGUCGGUGUAAUGUACGAAUGAAAGAUGGAUAUGGGUUUGUGGUAUAUGAAUUCCCUCCAAAUGCAGAAAAAGCUUUGAGAGCACUACAUAAGAGGAACAUUUGUGGGAAACCACUAACUCUCUCAUGGUCAAAUAAACAGCCUAGACCACUUAAAAGAUUUGCAAGGACUGAUAGAUCUUAUGAGCCACAGCAUCGUGGGAAUUCUGACAGAGGAGGAGAUCAUGUUAAAAGAAAAUUGGGUUCCAAUGAUCAGCAAGAUUAUAGGUUGAGUUUUACUCAAGCAGAUAGGAAUAGCAGAAUACCUAGUUCUGCAGACAUGCACCAGGAAGAGAUAGUUAACCACCAGGAUGACAUUGAAGACCACACCAACAAAGAACAUCAGGGUUAUAGAGAAGAUUUUCUAGAUGAAAGAGGUAGGGUUGGACCUGACCCAAUGGACAAUGAUAGAUGGGGUGAGCAAUUCCAUAACCCACCAAAUGAAGUUGGUGUUGAAAAUGGGGUAGAAUUUGAUAGAUAUGAUCCUUAUGAAGGUUUUGAUAGGAGAAACAAUGAUGAAAAUCUUCAGAAGGCCUAUUCUGGCGGUACUCUUGCUUUACAAAGCUCUCAAGAGAAUGCAGGGGGGGAUCACGCCAGCGAUGCAACUUUAAACCGUCUUAGUGAUGUAAAAUCCCAGGAAACUUGCUACAAAUGUGGAGGCUCUGGUCACAAAAUGCGCAAUUGUCCCCAGGAAAAUGCUUCACAGAGAAAUGUCACUAGGUUUGACAGUAGGCACACUGAUGACAUCCAUAGAAGUGGUAGAGGUAAAGGCGAUCCAGAAAAAAAUGGAUCCAGGUCAUGGGAAAAGCUCCAGUCAAGUAGAGAUGCUAUACCAGGAAGGAGACUCAAGAAUGAUAAAGAAUCAUCUGGUUCAGGAAGGCAUGAAGAAGUGACAAGGAAUGGAAGAUCUGCUGUAUCAAAGGAAACCGAUUGGUCCUGUAAAAAGGAGUAUGAAAGGAAAAGACAACGUAGGAAGGAAAUUGAAUCUCCAAAAAGACAUGGCACAAAGAAAGGGAGACGAUCAACUUCAUCUUUUCUGCAUUCUGACAACACCACAUCUAGAUUGCAUUCUACAUCUCAUUCCUCUAAGCAGCUGCAAAGGUCUCACUCCCACUCUAGAUCAAAAUCACUAUCUUCCAGCUUAAGGUCUGGCUCAACAUCACUCUAUUCUAGAUCCCAAAGUUCUAAAACCAUGUCAAGAUCAAUAUCUCCUACAUCCCUAUCCUUGUCCGUGUCACUUGGUCAAGCUUUGCCGUCCUCUUCAAAUAAGGCACAGCUGAUCAUGAAAGGCUCAUCAGAUAAUGCCACAACACCUGAAUCCAAGGAGGUUUUUAUUGAAGAAGUGCAACCAGUAGAAGGUGAAACUGGCUUGCAGGGUGAUAAACAUGGAUUGAAGACGGUUGCUGUGAAUGACAAUGCAGUGUCAUCGUCCAAAGCAGACACUGAAAUGGAAAAAUAUCAGCCUCUUCAGAAGGAUAGUGAUGACUGCCUAAUGGUGUCCAAUUCAUUGCACAAAGCAACUAAUUCAAGCACACAAAUACUGUCAGAGGAAGGCACACUUGCUGCUGGAAAUCUCUCUCUGGAGCCUGUGUUAGAGAUGGAAUGUCAAAAUUCUGAUACAUUUGAAACUGAGCAUGUGCAAGUUCCAUUGAAGAAAUUGGACCCACAAGCUCCUGCCAGCUCAUCUUCCUUCCACUCAACAAGCAUUUCUGCAGGGGAGUUGAGCAGUGUUCUGAAGCACUAUGGCCUUGGUUGUCAAGAUGAGAAUGAAAAGCCUUUGCCUGCUGAGGCUUACUUUGGUUCUGCUCGCUUGUGGCCGUGGGAGAUCAUCCACUACAGGAGGUUGAAGAAGGGCCUUAUCUCCAUUGAGAACUAUGCUAGGCGGGUUGAUCAGAAUAGGGAAUUCGGUAUUGUUGACAAAUAUAUUAGAAGCAGUAGUGGUUGGGGAGAAUUACAUCAAGAGAACCUGUGAAAGGUUUUGUUUGUCAAAAUGUGGAUUUAUUUUUGCCUUCUUAGAACCUCAGCAUUUUGGACACAUCGUGAAUCUAGCCCUGCUCUUGUUUUGAGCAGAAGAGUUGAACAGAUUUUAGACGUGCUCACAGUCACAGCAUAACACUUGGUUUGGAGAAAAGUGCCAGCUUCUUGCAAUCUCUUUUACAUUUGGUUCAAGAACUGCUGGUAUUUGUGUGUGAACGUCAAAUUUGAAAUAUGGUCACCCCUUCACCCCGAGUGGUGGACUUCUAAUUAUUAUCAGCUCUCUGUUGCUGUGUUUUUUUGAGCUCAGAUUAUCCAUCAUUUAGAAAAUUGAAAGCUCUUCUCGGUUUAGAGCUGUUGUUUUUGUAAGGUGAAUUUUUCCUUUUUCCCUUUGAAUAUUGAAGUGUUCCUUUUCUUGGUCUCUUCUGCCUAUGCAAAAUGCUUCUUCAGCAAUGAAGUUUAGAAAUCAGAUGUUCUAUGGGAUUUCACAGAUUUUCCAUGACUUAGCAGGUGAAGUAAAACUUGAAACCGAAGGCAAACUCAUUAUAGAUAAAAGUAUGUCAGUUUCACCCAAGCACCAAAUUUCGACAACUGCAUGGGCUUCUGGAGUCAAAAGUAAUUUGCAAUAUCUUGACACCUGUCAUGUGAAGAUUAAUGCUUUCUUAACUGAAGUGAAGCGGGGAUGCUCCGUUAUAAUAGAAAUCUUUGAAAUAUAGACACUGAAUUUGUAUCUUGUUUUGCUGAUUAAAAGAUUCGUUAGACGUUUUUAUGGAGCAAUUGAAUGCUUAAUUUUGUUUUCUUGUUUACUCCUUUGACUAAAUUAGGGAUAACAUGGAAGAUUCUUUUUCAGCUGCAGGUUGGCUAUUUGUUAAAGAAGGAAAAAAAAAAAAGAUAGUUUUUUGUGAAUCCAAAUGUAAUUUAUUUUAUAAGCUUUGGUUUGUUUCCCAGUAUGAACUUAUGUUGAUCUUGAAUUGCUGCAGGUACUAUAUAUACACCGCAUUUUGACUAAUAAUUUGAGGAUUCCAUGUAUCCGCUGGCUAGUUUAGCAUUUGAUUUGCUAUGGUCUCCUGUGAGGACAAGCAUUGUUAAUAUCCUUGUAUCUCGAUCCACCUUGAGAGUAAAAGAAACAGAAUGUUCCCGGGCUAUGAUCAGCAGUAAUCGUCAAGCACACUAGAAAGAAAUAGCAAUUAUUUGUUCCCAGCAUGUGGGGUUUCGUUCACAAAGAUGGAUGAUUGGACAUGGAUGAACAUUCAGAAACAACAGAUAGGGAUGUGAUGUGAUUAGAAUGAUAAAUCCUGAACUUAGAUUGUCAUCCCUAGAUUUGGCAUGGAUUUAUUUUCUCUCUAGAUUUGUAUUAGAUUUUUCUUUGAGAAAACAGAGACAAAUAAAUAUUUAUAAAUUGAGUGCUUUGGUCUGAAA